GACUUCCCCUGAAGCCCAGACAGAAGAUUAGGAAGCCUGAGUUUCAUACGACUACGGAUCUGACCAGCAAGAGCUUCCACCAAAGCUACUCUCCCAAGCUUGCUUUGGGGUGCUCCAGUCAAUAUAGAUUUUAGACUUUCACUCUCAGCACGCCAAGCUGUUUCUAAAGAAUUCUCAGAUGAAGCACCUCCCGACUGUGCUGAAGCGAUGGAAACAGAUUGGCCAAUCAAUGCAACCCAUGGAAUAUCAGAUGUUUUGGGAGGUCCCUGAUUCAGGAGGAGUGCCUGAACAGCAGCAAGAGCUUUAGACUCUGUAGCUGCUUGAUCGACUUUACUAAUAACACCAAUUGUUCUAGUACUCUCAGCAUCAUAUUCCUUCGCGAUUCUAAGGGCUCUAGAAGAUGAAAUUUCUGGUGCCUG
rnacentral:misc_RNA from 1 species